rnacentral:rRNA from 1 species
UACGUAGGUGGCUAGCGUUGUCCGGAUUUACUGGGCGUAAAGGGAGCGUAGGCGGACUUUUAAGUGAGAUGUGAAAUACCCGGGCUCAACUUGGGUGCUGCAUUUCAAACUGGAAGUCUAGAGUGCAGGAGAGGGGAAUGGAAUUCCUAGUGUAGCGGUGAAAUGCGUAGAGAUUAGGAAGAACACCAGUGGCGAAGGCGAUUCUCUGGACUGUAACUGACGCUGAGGCUCGAAAGCGUGGGGAGCAAACAGGAUUAGAUACCCUGGUA